rnacentral:lncRNA from 1 species
UAGUGGUGGUGUUGUUUUCAAGUUCAGAGGCAGCACCAGCGCCAAAAUGUGAUAACCCCCUGGAGUAUAGCUCAUGCUUGAACGCGUAUAAGAAGCCACCUCCAUCAGCCGGUUGUUGCCAGAAGAUGAAGGAACAAGCACCAUGCUAUUGCGAGUACAUGAAGAUAGAAGAUGUCAAACGUGUUUUUGACAGAGUUGAGAUUGCGAAAAUGGCUAAAUUGUGUGGAGUUUCAUAUUCUUCCACCUGUUAGAAUCACGUUUGGUUUCAUAUGACUAUCUCUGGCUGGGAUAAUGUGGCAUCUCAAUAAAUAAAAAUUUUAUUUGAAAACUAAUUUACUCAUAAUUUCAACUAUAAUUUACCUAUGUUCUUUUUUUUUUUGGAAUGAUACUGGUGAUUUUCUAUUAUUUACCUUUAUUGUCUUGAUUCAUGUUACAUAUGUGCUAAAAGAACUACACAAUGAUCUAGAUUUUGUUUGAACCGUACUGGAUUGGUUGGAUUGGAAACUGGUUUUGAUACUAGUAUAAUUACAGGGGUUAGAUUGGUUGACCCACGAACCAAUAGAGACUAGUUGAAUCGAUUUUCUCUAUUUCUUAAAAAUUAUUUUUAUAUUUAUUUGAAUUUUUAAAUAAUUUAUUUAAUAAAACUGGACGAAUUGGUCGAAAUGAAAAAUAGUUAUUUAACUGAUUCGACCAUCAGUCCAGUUCUGAAAACAUUGUUAUAGUUAAAAAAAGAAAAAGAAAUGGGUAGGGUAGAUCAAAUUAUUAAAUUAUAAACAUAUAUGUUAUUCGAAUAUUUAUUUGGGUAAAGCACACUUGUAGUCACUCAACUAUUAGUAAAUUUCUCUUUUAUGCUCUGAAUUAUGAAAAUUUACAAAAUGAUCACUCAAUUAUUCAAUUUUCUCUUUUUUGAUCUCUUGUUAGCUAGACUUGUUAAUUGGCCGGGUUACCUUACCAGGCAUGUAACAACCCAUUUUUCAGUGGUGUCAGAAACAAUGGUUUCGGGACCACAAAUUCGAUGAGUAAGUCUAUAUAUUUAUUAUUUAAUAUUUAUGAGUCAGUUUCAAUAUUAUAUUGAAUUUGUGAUUAAUAAUUUUUAUAAAUUGAACGAAUAGAUAAGUAAAAGUGGUUUAAUCCAAAGUCAAGUGGUUAUUGAAAAUGAGACGUUGGGACCUCAUUUCCGUAAUUUAAGGUCGUAAAUAUUUUUAUUAAAUAUUUAUGGACUCUUAUUAUAGGUGAAUUUAAGUUUGGUUCGGUAAUUUUGACGAUUGAUUUCUUAAUUAAGGAAAGAGAAUUAAAUUGUAAAAAAGGUAAAAAUUACCCAUUAUAGAUUUUAAAUUACCAAAGGGAUUAACAUGGAAAUUAGACCAUUGCCAAAAGUCCAAGCGGUGGUGGAUGGUAAUCAUUCCACUAACCUUUGGGAUAUUUGUUCAUUAGGUCCUAAUUAGGUUAAGGUUAAGUUGAAAUAAAGUUGUUUGAUUUGAUUUAAUAUAAUUGAAGGACCAAUUGUGCAAUUGGACUUUUCUUAAAUGGCCAAACGGUAGGAAGGAUAUGAAAUUCUCUAGUUUUGUGAUUAAUUGCUAUUAGAUCCUUAUUAUUUAGUAAUGAAUUAAAAAGGACUAAAUCAUAAAGAAUGAAAAAGUUAAGUUUUAUUAAUUGGAAAUGUAAAUUAGAUGGACCUAGACGGUAAUUAUGUCAUAUAUAUUUGAUGGAAAAUUAUGAACAUGUGUUAGAGAUAUUAUAAGUAUAAUUUAAAGGUUAAUUUUGUAAAUAAGUAAAUAGGUUAAUGAAAAAUAAAAGAUAACUAAAUUUAAAAAGCUAUCAUCUUUUUAUCCAUUCAAGAAAACUGAAAACACCAUUUUUAGAGGAGAAACAAGUUCGUCCAACUAGGGUUCUUCCAUUUAAGAGCUAAACCUUGCUCAUUGUUAGUAUUUUUUUAUGUUUUUAAGUUUAUUUUAGCUUGAUCUAGCUAACUUAAGGUCUAAUUUGUAAAAUUGUUAAACGUUGUAGAUUAUGCCAUUGAUGAUUUAGUGUGUUCUUGAAGUUUAAUGGUAUAUUAUUAACCUUGGUUGUUAAAUAAGACUAUUUUGUAAAGUAUUUUUUUUUGUAAUUUUAAUGUUAAAGGACCAAAAUGUUAAAGUGAUAAAAUUACAAGGACUUGACGUGAAAUAAUAGCAAGUUUGAGUUUUAAUGUAAUAGAAUGCGAUUCGGUUUGAUUUGGAUUUGGUUAAAAUUGGUUAAAUAGCAAGUUUGGAGCUUAGAGACUAAAUUAUAUAAAAGUAAAAUAUUGGAGGUAAUUUUGUGAAAAUGUCAAAAAUGACUUAGUUGCAUAUAAUAGUUAAUUAUGUUGCUAGAAAUUGAUAAUUGAAUGAAAUUAUUAUUUAGAUUGUGAAUGAAUUGAAAAUCGAAGAAAAGAGAAAGUUGCUGAAUAGUCCUUGAACUUUUGUCAUUUCUGCAGUUUAGCUCUGGUAAGUUCAUUUAAUAUGAAAUAAAUUAUAUUUCUAAUUGUUUAUGAAUGUUAGAGCUUAAAUGAUAUAAAAUUACUAAUAUUUAAAUUGAUUUAUUUAUAGAACUGAAACUGUAAAAAGUUACGAAAAUGGUAUUUUUUUAUAUCAAUGGAGACAAGCUAUAUUCGUAUGUAAGACCAUAACAAGGCUAUGAAAAUUAUAAACGUAAGACCAUAGUGAGAGCACAAUAUGAAACGUGUAUUGGGGUUUCAAUCGUCUUUACAAUAUUCAUCAUAUGGAAAUAAAUGAGGAUCUAAAUGUGACUUGAUGUGUGAAACGAUAAGUGGUUUGUAAUAGUUAUACGUGUAAAGGUAGUAAAUGUUGUAUUAUCAUUAUAUGUUAAAGCGAUUAUGCAUUGUGAUAGUAAGAAAUGCGAAUGUUGUUGAAAUGUGGAAAUUUGAUUUGAACUAAUGUUUGAGCAUUACUCACUUGCUGUAAGCUGUGAUUGACAAGAAUUCUGAUAAUAACCUUGUUGACAGUAACUCUAUUCAUUUAUCUUGUUAUUUGAAUUAUUUUGUUUAAUUUAGUAAGUUUUAUUGUUUAAUUGACGAACUUACUAAGCUUUAUGUAAGCUUAAUCGUUUCCUUGUCUUUUUCUUUGUAGAUUAUAUUUUAUGGAAAUCGGGAGAUCGAAUCAACUCAAAGAAUCACACUACCUGAAGACCUUUUUGGUAGAUUUUGAAUUCAAUUUGGCUUAUAUGGCAUGUAAUAGGAAAAUUUUAUUAUGUUUUGUAAUGGCUCCUAACUACUUAUAUUGUACAGUUGUUGUGUAUGUAAGGUUGUGGCUUGAAUAACUUUGUUAGACAUGCAUGCUUAAUUCUAAACUUAAGCAUAAUGGAUAAACAUGGAAUGAUAAGUUGGCAUGAAUUAGAUAUGGUAAGUUGGGACUGAAUUUGAGUGUGUUUGUGGUUUGUGUAUAUUUGCUAAGGUAAUGAGAUCAUAGGGUUGGACUUGUGGUGUCUUUGUUGACACAUUAGGUUAGGUCUUGGCUGAAUGAUUUAGCAUGUUUUGGAUGUUCUCAAAUGUGUUUUGAAGUCUUGUGAUCAUGUGUUAUAAAAUGGUUUAGGUACCUAAGCAUUUAGAUGUGAAAAGUGCAUGUUUUGGGUCAUUUUUGGGCACACACGGCCCGAGACACAGGUUGUCACAUGAUCCUGUAUCACACAUGGGCAACCUACACAGGUGUAUGCUCCGAGUGUGUUAGGUGCAGGGUUCACACGGGCUGGCACACGGAGGAGUCACUGACAUGUGAGCCAAGUUAGUGAGUUACACAAGUGGAUACACAUGUGAGCACAUGGACGUAUGGAGUAGCCACACAAGCGUGUGGGAUAGCCACAUAGCCAUGUCUAGAGGCACACGAUUUAGAUUCUGUCACACGUCUUAGACACACGACCGUGUGACCCUUGUUUGAAAAUUUUUCAAUUUUUCUCUGAACUUCUUGAUUUGAUUUGAAUUGGUCCCUAAUUGUUCCUAAUAUAUUUUUAAAGCCUCUUAGGCUCGAUUUAAGCUCCAUAAAUAUAUGUUUAUUUCAUUCUGAAUUAUAUAUGUAUUUUCAAAAUUGAUAUGAUUAUUAGAUGUUAAUUGUUAUGAGAUGUUCCGAAUUGUACGAUAAUACUCUGUAACCCUAUUCUGAUGAUGAAAACGGUUUAUGGGUAUUAUAUUAAGUGGUAUUAGAACCACAAUUUAGUCGAUUCUUAGAAUGAACGUAGCGUGUUCGAAGUCUAGAAAUUACAUGCCAUAUAAACUAGUGAUAGUGUGAUAUGGAUUGAUCCGAUCUAACACCUAUUUUAUUGUAGAUUAUAAAGAUGUCAUCUGAAUCUGAUCGUGACGAAACUAAUGAAGUUAAUAGUAACAUUUCGACUUUUGAUUCUGGUGCAAGUCAUAGUAUACAGGUUCCACAAAUGCCUGAAAAUGAGGUUAAGAAUAUUUUCUUAUAGAUCUAAUGAAUGUUAAUAGAAUCUGACCAUACUGAACUUGAUGAGGUAAAUGGUAAUAUUCCAACUUAUAAAUAAGAGGUAAUGUAAUGACCCAAAAUCCACAUGCACCGGAAAAGUGAGUUAUAGGGCCCCCGUCUUAGUGAAAUAAGUUCGAAAUAAUUAUAAAAAUAUUUAUGAGCCUAGUGAUGUGUCUAAUUAGGAUUUAAUUAGGUGAAAUUAACUUAAUUUAGAAUAAUUAGCAAAAAGAACUAAAUUGAAAAAGGGGUAAAAGUUUAAUUCUAAAGUAAUAGAAAAUAAAAAGGAUCAAAAUGGCAAUUAAGCCAUUUACAUAAAUUGAGGCGGCAAAUGGAAGAAAAAUCAAGAUUUUUCUUGAAUAUAUGUAUUAUAUAUUUAUAAUAUUAAAAUUAUUAUUAUUAUGGUUUUAUAAUUAUUAUGAUUAUUUAAUGAAUAUUAUAUUUUAAAUAAAUUAAAUAGUUGAUAAAUAUAUGGUAAUAAAAUUUACAUGUGUAAAAAUUAUUUUGGUACAUUUGUAAUUUAAAUACUAAAUUACUUAUAAUUUAAGUAAAAAGAUAUUUGUUAACUAAAUAAUUAAAAUUUUAAAUUAUGAGAUUUUUGUUUGAGAAACAAAUUAAAUAAUGACAAAUGUAAUAAAAUUAUUGGUACAAAUGUAGAAUUAAAUAUGUGUACAAUUGUAAAAUAUGUAAAUGAUGUUAAAAUAGAUAUUUAAAAUAAAUAUAUUAUAAUAUAUGCUAAUUAAAUAAGUAAAGCAAAUAAAUAUAAAAGAGAAAUAAAGAAACAAAAGGGAAUAGAAAUAGAAUUGAAAACGGGAAGCAGGGGAGAAAAAGAGAAAGAAAAAGGGCAAGAAAAAUAAAAGAGAAAACUAAGGAUUUGAAGCUUGGAGUUAAUUUGGAAAGUCAAUUAAGUCCUUUUUAGUUAAUCUUGAUGUUUUAGAAGCUUUGAAACAAGAUUUUGAUGAAAUUAAGUUGAUAGUUCAAGAGUUCAUAUGUUUCCAAAUAUGGUUCAUGUUGGACAAAUUAUGGAAUUAGGGAUUUAAUUGAAUGAAUUCUAAGUUAGAAUUGAUUAAGGGAUUAAAUUGUAAACUAGGCUAUAAGUUUUAUGUUGUAGGGACUAAAUUGAAUAAAUUUCGAAAUUAGGGAAAUAUGCAGGAAAUUUUAUAGUUAAAUAUAAGUUUAGACUAAAUUUAAAUAGAAAAAGAGAGUGAAUUGGAUUAAGAAAAUAAUUAAGUUUAGUUAGGAUUAAAUUGGGAAUAAGGUAGGAAUUGUUUAGAAAUUUAAUUAUUUAUUAUAAUUAAUGCUGUAAAUAAUAAUGUAAAUUACUAUUAUUUUCGUAGCCAACAAAGAACCUGAAGCAUCAGCAUCAAAAGGAAAGGAGAAAGUCAUCGAGGACUAAAACGGGAGAAUUACGGUGUGUAUUACUAUAAUUCGAAUUUUAAUUAUUAUUGAUUGCUGAAUUUUUAAUUGUUAUGUAUGGUAAGUAAGACUUGAGGUAAGUAAGUGAAAUUGAUAUGAAUAUUGAGUGAAAAUGAAAGUGAUGCAUAUUGAAUUAAAUUGAAUAGAAUAAGUGAAUUAUGGAAUAUGUGAUUAUUUGAAAAGUGUAUUGAUUGAAAAAUGAAUGGUGAUUUGAAUUGUGAAUUGAAAGUGAUAGAAUUGAGAAAGUGAAUUGAAUACCCUAUUAACUAGUCGGGCUGAGUCGGAUAUAGUUGGCAUGCCAUAGGAUUAGAAGUGUUCAGGGAUGCUUCGACCUCAAGUCGAUGAGACACUGGGUGUCACUAAAUUUCUUCGGAUAGAUUCGAUGAGGUACUGGGUACCAACUUUACUUCGGCUAGGCUGAUGAGACACUGGGUGUCAACUAUUACUUCGAACUAUCCGAUGAGGCACUGGGUGCCAUAUUGGUGUGUUUGAUUGGAUCCAUGUAUCCGCCAAAGUCCGAGUUACGUUAAUAGGGUGAAAAAUUGAAAUGUGAAUUUAAGGCAUUGAAAAAAAAAAGGAAAUUGAAUUAUGAAUAGAAAUUGGAAUUGUGAUAGAAAGAGAAAAGUAUGAGCUAAAUGUUCGUAAGUGGUUUAAAUUCAAGUUUGUGAAAAAUACAUUAAUUGACGAAUAAUUAAAUUGAAUUGUUAUUAUGAAAUGAUGAAAAUAAAAAUAAAAAUAAAGUAUGAAUUAGUAUUUAAGAAAUUAAUUGUUAUGUAUUUUAAUAUUUAUAUUUUUAUUAUUGAUGAUAUAUUUUGAAUUAUGGUAAUACCACUGAGUAUAUCCAUACUCAGCGUAAGGUUGUUUCUGUGCGCAGGUUAGUAGAAGUCAAGUGUCCCGGCUCAGCAUCCAGAACUAUCCCGACUCCAACACAAAUUUGGUGAUGUAUAUUUUUCUUUUGGGUAAAGGUGGCAUGUACGUAGGUGUUGUUUAGUCACUUGAAUAUGUAUAUUACUUUGGGUAGUGAAGGAUGAAUUAUAAGAUUUAGAUGGUUAAAUGAAUGAAGUAUUUAAUCAAUUUAGAAUGAUGCUAUGAUAGUUAUUAAGUUAAAAAUUAUGUUAAUGAUAUAAAUAUUAGUUAUAUGAAUGUGAAACAUUGGUGUUGGUUGUUUUGGUUUGAAUUUGCAGGGGUUUUAGGUAAAAAUAAGCAGAAAUGCUGCCGAAUUUUUUUUUAUAAAAAAAAAAUUCCCGGAAUACUCGAACAAGUCCCGUUCUACUUUUAAUACGUGUUUGAACUUCGAGAGUCCAAUAUAGGGACUUAAUUAUUAUAUUAUACUAUGAAAGUUAUAUUAAUUGUAAAUUAUUCGUAAGUUGUCUAAUAUGUCCGGUAAUGCCUCAUAACCUCGUUCCGGCGACGGUUUGGGGUUAGGGGGUGUUACAGGUAAAUUAUAGUUUAUCGGUUUUGUAAAUGUCAGAUAGUGAAGUCAAAAUGUCAUUUCAACUUAAUGAGUCAGUAGUUCACAGAAAUAGCUUGAGCCAAUUCAGAGGCUCUACAAUUUCUACCUCUUUUCGAGCAUCCCGUGGUAACUUUGAGUCUUCAACUGACUAAAAUAGUUCGAAGACUCUUGUGUAAAUAAUUAAAUAGUAUAGUGAUGAAGACUUCAAAAGUAAAAUAGAUGAAGAUUCUAUUAACCAACAAAUUGGAGAGAUUAAUUAAAACUGAAAUUAACUAAAUUAAUUAACUAAAGAACACGACAAAGAAUGAAUUAGGAAAACAAAUGAUUAACAACCAACAAAGAAAAUAAUACCCAGGAAAGAAUCCUCCUAGAUUUCAUCUGUCAUUAUCAAUCUGAAUUAAACAAUUUCUUCACUUUCUAUCUUGAUCUGUAGAAAUCCCUAAAUUAUGUUAAUAUCUCUUUCGAGAGUAAGAGCAACUGACUUUAGGUUAAUUAAUUGAAAUUUAUUUCCAAUUAAAACCCAUAUUAUCACAUUAACUCGAUCUAUUGAUCCCCCUAUUAGAUUUAACUCUAAUGUGGUAGAUUUAUGUCAUCCUAUUUCUAGGAUUGCAUGCAAUUCCACUCAAUAAUGCUAGAUCUACUCUUAAACAGAAACUUUUUCUCCUCUGAUUUAGAAAUAUCAAACCAAUAAUUAAGCACAAAUAAUUGAGAACAAGAUCUAAGUAUUUAUUGUGUAGAAUAGAAGUCAAACAACAUAAUUCAUCAUAUGGUUUAUUUCCCCUAGGUAUUUAGAAAAUUAGUUCAUAAUCACAAAUAAAAGCAUCCAGAAGACAGUAUAACCACAAGAAAUAAGAAAACCCAUAAUAAACUUCAAAGGAAUCAAGAGGAGAUCUUCAAUAUUGAUGGAAAUUUGCUUUAGAGUCGGCUUCAAUGGUGUUUUUUAAGUUGUUUUCUUGAGUAUUCUAUGAUGGCUCACUCCCUUCUUUUUAUAUUAGGUAUAUAUAGGUUUUAAAAUACCCGAAAAACCUAAAAUUAAGUUUUUUUUUGCAUUUCUAGAGUGCAUUUUGCAAUUUCCACACCGUUUGGCACACGACCAUAUGGCUCACACAGCCGUGUGUCCAGUUCGUAUGGAAUGGCUCAGCCAUUGUGGCUUCUGAAACUUGCUCUUAUUUUUUGAUUUUCUCUCGUUGUUUAGUCAUUUUGCUCCCAAAUACUCUCCUAAGUAUAGAAACAUGAAUUUAAAGGAUUAUGAGCAUAAAAUUCACCAUUUUAAAUAGAAUAAUCAUCCAAAAACGCAUUAAGAAUGAGGCAAAAACAUGUUACUUUUGGCAUUUGUCAAAUAUCCCCACAUUUAAGCAUUUGCUUGUCCUCAAGCAAAAUCCUCAACCCACAUUCAAAUUAACUGUUCUCAAGUUGUCAUUUUCAUCAAUAAUGUUUCAAGAUAAUUCGCAAACAAUCAUGCAUUGGAAAUUCAACCAAAAGGACACUAAAGAUUCAAGCAGUCCAAACCAUAACCAUAAAGUUAUCUCGCCUUAUCUAAAUAAUUAUCUUAAGGUUCAAAUAUUGUGCACUCAAUAUUCGAAAGAGAAAUGCCAUUACCAUAAAAUUGCUUAAAAAUCAAAUCUCCACCACUAUAGAAUGAGAUGACACACCAAUCAAUAGGUCUUUUCAAGGUUGUAAUGGGGCUUAGGUUAAGGGUAUGGAAAAGGUCAGAAAAGUCGGUUAUAAUCAAGAUCGAGUUAAUAAAUUAUCAAACUAGAAAAACAAUCAAUUGCUAAAUUAAAAGAACUUACAUCAAAAAGAAUAAGCACAAAUGGAAACGAGCUUUUCGACAGAAUAUGAAACUAAUUAUUCAAGCUAAAUAUAAAAUUUAUGUUUUUUCUUUUCGAUUUUUUUGAGAAAUAAGAAAUAAAAUUCAACAAUUUAAAAAAAAAUGAAAUAUUGUUCUCGACAAAAAGGGAGUCAAUAAAAAGAAUACAUUUACAACAUAGAUUUGGGUUAAGGGUUAACAUUAAUAGGUUAAUAAAAAAAAAUUUAGGAUCAAUGAGGUUUACUAGGGGUUAACACAACAAUUAAGGUGGUUAAAUGAGUUAAAUCCUAAGUAUCUCUAUCAUCUCAAUAUAUUAAAUCAAUAAUAUGGUCUAAACAUGUAUAAUAUAAGAAAGUUCUAGAAUAACAAAUGAAGUUGACAUACUUUCAACCAAAAAUAAAAUGAGCACGAAUAAAUAUAAGCUCUAUAGGCUCAAAGGCUCACAAAAAAUUAAGGUUUUGAUGUCAAACUUGCAAUUUCAGAGUUUCAAGACAAUAAUUCAAUUCAAGAAAGCAACCUAAAAUAUUUAUUUAUGAAAAAUUAACUUAUCAUGCUUGACUCUCUCGUGCCUUAAAGUAUAAAUCACACAAUGCAUAUAAAUCCACAAAUUAAUCCAAAACAACAUCAAUAAAAAUUUCAAAUAAAACAAUUCACUCUAACAGACAACCUUCUCAGACUUAAGAUGUAUAUUAUCCUUCAUGUACAAAUAGAUAUAAGCACAGAAUAAGACAAUAUCAAAAGAGAGGGAGAACUAAAACUAGCCUGAAUAUGGAUGAAUUUGCCAUAAUAGUGAAAAGCAGAAUCGUAAGCGAGUCUAAAUGCGGUGCAUGUUUCCAAGUAAACUAAUAAGAAAAUUAACAAAAAUAAAUAAGAAGGUAAAGAGAUUACAAACUUGAACAAAACAACCAUCAAAAUAAUAAAAAUAACAGCAUAGUUCAAAAUAUAAAUAAAAUAAAUUAGUCUCACAAAAAAUACAACAAUUAAAAAUAAAAGUACAAUUGAAAAUAAAAUAAAUAAAGCAAAAAAAAUGAAAAAAAAUUAGUGAUCAUCAUCGUGAGAGGCAUCAGGAUCACACGAAACAUAAGCAGAAUGGGAGAUAUGCAGGUGUUGGUGAAUCAAUGUAAAGCCGCGUCAAUGUUGUCGAACCAUGCUGACUGUUACUUGACAUGCUCAUAAUGUAACCGUUCGAGGCGAUUUAGCUGAUGUGAAAUAUUGCCAAGUGUGACUGAAUGUGCAGGUGCAAUAGUAGAAGGGCUCGGAGGAUUGGGAAUGGGUCGCAAUGCUGGGGGGAGAUCAUCAUCAAGGUGCUUAUUAUCCUCGUGCUAUUAAGUUGCUCGUAACAACACAUACUGAUCACCGAAAGGCCCAGGCUGAUGAGCAAUCAUCCUCAUAUGUUUCAUAAUAUUUAAACCUUGUGGUGUCAUGUCCCCAACCAAAGUAAGAGUACCAAUCUGCUUGGGAGUCUCGAGGAGACCAAAGUGACAAGUCAAGAGUGUGAUAUCUAGACCCAUACAAAGAGGUCCUCUCCGUGACCGCUCACUCUGAUUAUGAAAACACUGGGCUACAAAGUGGGCUAGAUCAAUCAGAUGUUGUCCGUGCAUACUCUAUAAGAAAUAUGCAUUUAAAAUGCCCACGAUGCUUUUAACGGCCUGUUUUCAGUGGUGUUGAAAAUAGUGGUUUUGUGUCCAUAAUUCUGAUUAGUGAAUUAUUAAUUUAUUAUUUAUUUAAUGUCUAUGGGAUUAUAUUAAGGUCUUAUUAAUUUUUUUUAAGAAAUUUUGAUGUUUAAAUGGUUAAUUAGGUGAAAAUGAUUAAAUCGUGAAAAGUGUAAAAGUUGAGUUGUAUUAGUUAAAGUGGUCUAAUGGCUAUGAAAUCAUAAACUAAAGGACUUGAUUGGUAAAUAUACCGUUUAAAGUGUUAGUGGAUGUGCAUGGACAAGGUUUUAAUGAAAUUUUGAUAGUUUUUAAAGGUUAAAAUGGCAAUUGAAUAAUUAACUUUAAAACAAAAGAAACUAAAAAUGGUAUCAUCAUCAUCCUUGGCUAUCUCCACCAAAAUUUGAAGAGGAAAACACCAUUAGAAUAGGGUUGAGCAUUCGAUCAAGUUUCUACUUGUAUGUAAGUGAAUUCAAGCUCCUUUUUUUUAAUGAUUUUUAUGUUUUCGAGUUCAUUUUAGCUUAAUCUAGCUAGCCCGGAGGUUAAUUUGCAAAACCGUUAAAGGUUGAAGGACUUUUCAUGGAUAUUUUUUAAUGUGUUUUGACGUUUUUUGAUGUAUUAUUUAUCUUUUGUAACACCCCUUACCCGUAUCCGUCGCCGGAACAGGGUACGAGGUAUUAACAAAUUAUAGUAUAUACUAUUAAAUAAAACCCAACAAAAAUAUGGCGUGCAAUUUGAUCAUGGAUCAUUAUAACAUAUGCCAUUAACAAUACAAACCAACUUCAAAGGCUUCGUACAAAAUGAUUAGUUUGAUACUAUAAGUAGUAAUUUAAACCUAGACAAUUAUGACACGUAACAAAAUAACUAAGUCUGCUAUACAUGCCAUAUUUCAAAAUGUUGAGUUCAGAUACCAAGAGUAUUGAUAGUGCGGGCGGAUCUUCUAUGAUCUCUGAUUCCUGUACUCGCUGGAUGACACUAUAAGACAAAUGAGAGAAAAGAAAGUAAGCUUAUAGCUUAGUAAGUAAGUAAAUAAAUAACAAAUAAGGAAUCUAAUAUGUUUACAACAUAACUCAAUUAUAUCAUAUUUUUAAUCUUACUGUUUACUCCAAUUUGAUCAAGCUGUCCCUCCUGCGUCAUGAUCACUAAAUAAAUCAUAACUUGAGUUACGAAACUCGAAAUCCAAAUCCGUAAAAUUUCCCUGAAUCUAGACUCAUAAAAAUUCUUACAAAUUUUUUUCUAGAAUUUUUGGUUCAGCCAAUUAGUACAGUUUAUUAGUUAAAGUUUCCCCUGUUACACAGCUCAACUGAUCUGACCUCUGUUCAUUACGAAUUGAAUUUCUCUUAGUACACAAUUCAAAUAACCAUGAAACCUGUUUCAUUUAAAAAUAUACUCAAUAAGAAAUUUAUUCAUAUAAACUAUAUUUCUUAAUUUGUUUUGUAUAAUUUUUAAUGAUUUUUCAAAGUUGAAACAGGGGAUCACAUAGUCAUCCUGAACAAGUCUCACACAAUUGUAAAUAUCUCAAAAUAUAGAAUUCCUUUGCUUGCUCUGUUUCUUUUAUAUGAAAAUAGACUCAUUAAGCUUUAAUUUCACAUCUCAUUCAACCUCUAAUUAAAUUCCUUAUAUUUUUGGUGAAUUUUCAAAAUCACGUCACUGCUACUGUCCAAAACAGUUUUAAUGCUAAUUUCACUCUUUCACACAUUCUUUAUACUAACCUCAUUUUAACUUACAUAUAUAUAUAUAUAUACCACAAAUCAUUUUCACCACAUUUCAUGCAUCACAAGUGUAGGUCCAUGACUACAAUGUCACCACAAAACCAUCCCGUUGAACAAUUCGGAUUAAUCCUCGAUACUUGAUGGUUUCAGCACACAGCUCCACCAUCAUAUUUCAUUUAAUUCGACUCUCUUGUACACAUGGUGAACACUUAGUACGACUCAUGCGACCUAGCUGAUUUGUCUCAUAGCUCUCUUGUCUACAUGGUGUCCUUCACUUGGAAUCACGCAUGCGACCUAGCUACAUUUAUCUCUCACGUAGCUCUCUUGUCUACAUGGGAUACAUCCCGUAUCACACAUGUGACCUAGCUACUAUAUAGUAUCUCGUAGCCUUCUUGUACACAUGAUGUGCACUAGGCACCAUACAUGUGACCUAGCUACGCUCCCUCUAUUUUAUUCGAUUUUUCCGAAUGUUCAACCGGGAUCUCUCUCUCUAUUACUUAUUUCCAUUCUUCCAAUAGUCGAUUUAUACUUCAACAUCAGCUAAUAUAUAUAAUAGGCUGAAAUAUAAGAAUGUAAAUGAAAUUAAUGUAUUAUUUACAUACAAACUUACCUCGGUGCAAAAUAUGGGAAUUUUGCAAUUUAGUCCAAAACUUUCUCCUUCCCCCGUUCGAGGUCGAUUCCACGCCUUUCUUGAUCUAUAACAACAUAUUUAGCUCAUUUAACACUUGAACUAUUUAUUUUAAUCCAAAAAUCACAUUAUACAAAAAUUACAUUUUUGCCCCCUAACUUUUACAAAAUUACGAUUUUUCCCCAAGGCUCGGAAAUUUAAUUUCAGCCCUUAUUCUUAUGUUUAAUGACCUACUGAUCAUUUUUCUCUUCUCUGGCAACAUCAAAUUCUCACUCUAACACAUAGUUAUGAACAAUAGGUAUUUUUAUCGAUUAUGCCGUUUUGCUCGUUUUCGUUAAAAAUCGCUUAGAAAAGAUCGUUCUCCUAACUUCAAACAUUCAUAUUCUACCAUCAAACAACAAAAUACAUGCCUUUAAUUCAUGGGUAAAUUUUUAAACAUAAACCCUAACUCAAACUAAUGGUAGAAAUAAGUAAACCGAGCUACGAGGAUUUCAAAAAUGUGAAGAACAUUAAAAACGGGGCUUGAAAUCACUUACUAUGAAGCUUGAAAGUUGAAGAAACCCUAGCUAUGGAGGAGAGCAAUUUUCGGCAGCAACUAAUGAAGAUGAUAACCAAUUUUGUGUUAUUUUUCCCAUUUUAUUUCAUUUAAUAUACAAAUGACCAAAAUACCCUUACUACUAAACUUUCAAAAAAAUUCCCUCCAUGUCCAACUUUUGUCCAUAACUUAAGAAUGGGUCAAAUUUCUAUUUAAGACCUCCUAGUAAAUAUCCCAAAGCAAUUUCAUACUAAAAACUUCUAAAACACGAGUUUUACAAUUUAUUCGAUUUAGUCUCUAAUCUCAACUUAAGCGCGAAAUGCACAGAAUUUCAUCAUGAAACUUUCACGAAAUCAUGAAAUCAUAUCAUAAACCCCAAAAUAAUUAUAAAACAAUUAUUUCUAUCUCAGAUUUGUGGUCACAAAACCACUAUUUCGAUUAGGCCCUAAUUCAGGUUGUCACAUCUUUGUUGUAAAAUAGACAUGUUUUGUUAAGUGAUUUUUGUUGAAUUUUGGAAAUAUGGAUUAAAUUAUUAAAAGUAUAAAUCCGUGGGUUUUGUUGUGAAAUUUUGGUAAUAAUGGGUUGUUUCAAGGUCCUUUUGAACAUUGGUUAAGUUGGCUUUAGGUUAAAAUGGUUAGAUUUUAAGUUAUGAGCUUGAGGACUAAAUUGUAAAAAGUCAAAGUAUUAGGGACAAAUUUGUUAUUUUUUUAUAAAUAUGAAUUAUGGAUUAAAUUUAAUUCUACUUGAUUGAAUGAAAUUAUUUAUUUAGAUCAAGAUAAACCAUAAUCGGACUUAAAUCGUGGAAAAGCUAAAGUUUCGGAUUAGUGUUUGAUUCUACUUUUACGCCCUAGUUAUUAAGGUAAGUUCGCAUGAACUAUGAUCGUUUUAAUGUUAGUUAAAUUGACUAUUUGCUGUGUUGUUUUAAUAUAAAUGAAUCUAUGUAUAAAUGUAUCUAAGCUAUGAUGAAUUAACGGAUAACGAGUCCCAUUUGAACCUUAAGAAUUCUUAGGAUACAAAUGACAUGUCAUUAGGGAUUUCAUGUUUCGGGUGUUGGUCUUAAAUGUCCUACCGAUGGUUGAGGUCCUGCAUUUGUUGCAGAUUCUCCACAGCUCGUGUGAGCAAUAUCAUGUAGCUAACAUUCCGACCCACAACUCAUGUGAGCAGGUGUGAGCAUUAAUGUAAAGGAAAUGUUACUAUUAUAUGGAAAGGCACACUACGAGUGAACAUUCCCGAGUAGCUGAUGUAAUUCUAGAUGGUUCAAUGGGUAAGAAAAGGAAAUGAAAUGGUAAGUAUGCAAAUGGAAUGAAUCUUGAUCUUAUAAUGACAUUGAUGAGUUAAAUGAUAUGUUUAUAUAUGGUAAACUACAUAUCUUAUGGUUGAUUUCAUUUGUAUCAUGAACAAGUGUACUAACUUGUUAGUUUGAUGAUGUUGUAUAGGCUUUUACUAAGCUUAUGGCAUUGGUAAUGAUUUAUGCUUAAUCUAUGAAUUGUAUAAAUAAAAUGGUAAGUUAUGUUAAGUUUUUACAAUCUUACUAAGCACUCAUUGCUUACAUAGUUACUUUCCUUUGUUUUAUAGAUUAUAGGAAGCUCGAUCAGUUGGAAGUUCGUCGAAGACCUAUCACACUAUCCAACAAUCAUUUUAGUAUAUUUUUUUUUGUAUAUUUUGGCCAAGGUUAAUAAUGGCAUGUAUAGGAUCUUUGUAAUGUAAGUUUUGGUAAGUUUAAGCUUUUGCAGUUAUGCUGGUUUGGUGCACUUUUGAUGUCUUACCAAGUUAUGUCAUAUUAGUUACUUUUAAGUGCUUGUAAAUAAGGUUCUUUUGGUAUUUUUUGAUGGCUUGCAAAUGGUCAUAUGUGGUAGUUAAUUAAACUAGGUUAUUAUGGCUGGGAAUAUACAACAUUGACUUAUUUUGGUAAGUGAUAUUUUGCUAUAUUUGUGGUGCCUUUGAAUGGCAUAUUGGGUUAGAUGAAUUAGGGUGUUUGAAAAGGCAUGUUUUUGUGUAUUUGAAUGAAGUUUAAAUUCCUUGAAUGUAUGCCUAAAUGGUCUGAAUGGUUAGGUAUGAAUUGGACUUGAAAUGACUUGAUUUUAGGUUAAAUUUUGGUUUCACAUGGCUUGGGACACAAGCUGUCACAUGGUCGUGUGACACAUAACCUGGUAACAUGGACGUGUGCCAUUUGAAAUUUCUUAGUGAUUCAAGUCAGUGAGUUACACGACCUGACACACAGGUGUGUGUGGCAACUCAGAGAGUUAUACGGCUGUGUAACACUUCUCAGUGAGUUACACGGGUAAGGACACGUGCUGGGACACGGUCGUGUUCCCCUUGUUCGAAUAUUACACGACCUGGCCAUACGACCGUGUGGCCCCUGUUUUCACAUUUUUGCAUCGUUUUCUUAAAACUUCUAUUUUGUUUUGAUUUAGUUCUGAAUUGCUUCUAAGCUAUUUUUAAAGCCUCGAAGGCUAGAUUUAGGGACAAAAUGCAAAUGAAUGAUUGGUUUACAAUAAAUUUAAUUUGUUUUAUGUUAUAAUGUUAAAUGAUUUCUAGUUGAAAGAUAAUGCUCUGUAACCCUAAUCUAGAGGCGGAGACGAGUUAAGGGUGUUACAACGCUUGUACUCUUCUUUCGUCUAGUUAAAAUAUGAACUAGAAUGGCAUGAAUAUAUUACAAUGUUGGAGGGAGGUACUGAGCCUUAGACUGGCUCGGGUUGCACGAAAUGGCAACCUCAGAGAUUUUCGACCAACAUAGAGAGACCGAAUAAUGGAUGUGUUGUGGGAGGGAUGAGAGCUCGGUCACUGCUAAGAAAUCAUUAGAAUAUAGGUUGAGAGUGACACCAAAGCCUGCAUUACUAAAGUGUUGAGCGAUACCCCCAAGACGGAAUGAUAUAGCCCGUGGGUCAUCCCCCAACGAUAGUACAGUUGGUAGGAAGAAUGUGGAGAAAAACUCGAAUGUAAGCUCAACAUAUGUAGACUCGACGAUCGUGAAGAAUCACUCCCAUGGGAUUGCGAUUAAAAGAGAAUGAAUCAGUGCGAAUAAGCUCAUAAUUUGGAAGGUGUCCCAAUCUACACGCCGGCCCAUGCCCAAUGCUCUAUCCUUAAUAUUCUGGUACCUCUCCUCAUGGGGUGGAUGGUCAAAGGUGAGGUAUUUGUAACGAGUGGUUGUGAUCGGAGAGGAUGAAGAUGAGGUCUAAGUGGCUUUUCUUUUCUUAGAAUGAGUGUGGACCCUAUUUUUUCCUUGUAGUUUUUGCAUUUUGUACCUGAAAUAAAAUAUAAUAACCAAAUAUCAGAGAACCAAAAAUCAAAACCACAAAAAAUGAAUCUAGCAAAUAGACAAAUCGACAUAUGAAAUAAAACACAUUGGCAAGAGAACCACCUCACGAUGAAAGUCGAAUCACAACGAGUCUAACCAAAAUCUACUUCGAAUACAAAACUAGAGCUAAUACUAAUACUAUCGAGGCAAAAAUAAAUAAAUUAAACUAACCAACUAAAACUAAUAAUAUUAGAAUAAUAAAAUAAUAAAAUAAUGACAAGAAUACUAAUACUAAACAAAAUAAACAUAUUAAUAAUAAGAGUAAUAAUAAUUAAAAUAAUAAGAAAAUAAAUAAAAACAAAAAUAAUAAAAAAUAAAAUAAAAUAAAAUAAAAUGAAAGAAUAGGGUUGAGCCAAAUGGUGGUAACGGUGGUUGUUGGCGGCGAUGGUGAAUGGAGGCGCAAGUGAGGAUGUGUGAGAGGACUGAUGGAGGUGGUGCGCAGGUGAAAAAGGUUAGAACGGAAGGAAAAAAACAGACGAUAGAGGAAAUGGCAUGAUCGACGGUAGGGGAAGGAAAGGGAAAGGGAAAAGUGCGGGGAAGGAAUGGAAACGACACGAUCGACGGUAGAGGACAUGUGUCCAGCCAAUAUGGAAUGGCCCGGCUUGUGUGGCUCUUAAAGAUUCCUCCAAUUUUUCGAUUUUCGCUCUUUUUUCUUCCAAAUGUUCUCCUAAAUAUAGAAACAUGAAUUUAAAGGAUUAGGGGCAUAAAAUUCACCAUUUUAAAUCGAAUAAUCAUCCAAAAAUGCUUUAAGAAUGAGGCUAAAACAUUUACUUUUGGCAUUUACCAAUAAGAAAUGGGUUGGUUUGAAAAUAAAUGGAUUGCUUGUCGUAGAAUAUUAUUCUCGGCAGAAAUUAAAAUAUAAAAUUUUAAAAAUUAUAUUUAAUACAAUAAAACAUUUAUUAUAUUUAUGGUAGUAUUUUUUAAUGUGGUAUGGAACUCUUAGUUGAUGAAACUUGUUUAGUGGUAGAUUAAAUAGACUAUUAGAUUAUUAAUUCUGAAGCCAUUAGUCAUAUUUGUGUUUAUUGCAGGGGUUCAAGUAAAUGAGAAGCCUUCGUGAGAAGGAUCUCUCAUUGCAACUAGAGAUGCGUGAAGAAAUGUAGCGGCAAAAGUAGUGGGAAAAGUACAUUUGUAUUUUGAUAAUUUUAGGAAAAUCAUUUUAAAAAACAUACUUUAUGUACCUAGUUUUAGGAGAAAUUUAAUUUCUGUUGCAUGUUUAUUUCAAGACAAAUUUUUUGUGACUUUUAAUAAAGGGAUUGCAAUUCAUAAAAAUUAUGUUCUUAUAUGUAAUGGAUGGAUGCAAAAUAAUAUUUAUUUUAUUAAACUAAAGAGCUACUCACUGUUUGAAACCAAACUCGUGAAUAAGAAACUUAAAACUUCUCACUCUAAUACUUAUGAUAUUUACGACUUAGUCACGUUAAACAAGAAAGAAUGUAAUACCCCUAACCCGUAUCCGCUGCCAGAACAGGGUUUCGGAGCAUUACUAUCAUUUACAGAUCACUAAAAAAAUUUAAAUACUUAUCGAUUCAAUGCAUCAUAUAAAUAAAUAUAUUAUCAUUCAAUCAACAGUUUGACACUUGUAUAAGCAUCAAACAGCAACAUUGUUAGUAUACUUGCACAUAUCUCAUAUAAAUUCAACAUUGAUAUAUCUAUUUUCUCGACAUAUCGCACUUGAGUUUAAUAAUAGUCUCAACUUACAUAAUUUCCUUGUAUCAACAUAUCAAAGAUAAUCAUAUAUGUACAUGUCAUGAAACAUAUCAUGCUCUUACCGUUUCUUCAUAAGCAUAUAUCAUUCAUUUCAUUAUAUCAAUAUUUCAUGCUCCAUCAUUUCUAUAUAUUUUAUGUAUAUUUAUUCCGGUAAUAGCUUAUAUCAAACUUAACAUAAAUUAUAUUCCAUGUACUUAUACUUAUUUCGUUUAUCUAUCUUCAUAAUUAUUUCAUAUAACCAUUCGUCAUCUGAUACAUAUUACCUGAAUAUCAAUUGUUCAACAGAUGUUAGAGCGUCUCCCAUCCACGGUCUUAUUUAUCUUUGACAUGAUGCCAUAGUGUCUUUCAACUAUGGUCUUACUCAUUUUCUGUCAUGUUGCCAUGGUAUCUUUCAACCAUGGUCUUGUUCAUUUCAUAUCACGUUGCCAUGGUAUCUUUCAACCAUGGUCUUACACAUUUCAUAUCAGGUUGCCAUGGUAUCUUUCAACCAUGGUCUUACACAUUUCAUAUCAGGCUGCCAUGGUAUCUUUCAACCAUGGUCUUACACAUUUCAUAUCAGGUUGCCAUGGUAUCUUUCAACCAUGGUCUUACACAUUUCAUAUCAGAGAGCACACUCCCGCGAACCUCAUCCUUACAGUGGGAUUACCAGUCCAGGCUAAAUCCCCUGUAACAUAAACUCAUAGAGUAUUGUCGGGAUUACCAGUCCAGGCUAAAUCCUCUGCAACGACAAUUACUCUAAUGAGCUUAGAUCUGAAUUACCAGUCCAGGCUAAAUUCAGACCCUAAUUCGGAUUACCCGUCCGGGCUAAAUCCAUUUUACACGUAUUCUUCGGGAGGGCUAUAUCAGAAUAGGAUCACCGGUCCGGGCUAGAUCCUUUUUACCGUCAAUUCCUUUUCAGAGAUCCAUCGAAUUUUCCUUUCAUUCAACUGGGAUUUAUUUUCAAUUUAUAUCGAGAAUUAUCAAUAUUUCAUCAAAUAUCAUGAAUUGAACAUUCAAAUCAUAUUUUCAUCACAUAACCACAUAUUUCAAGUAUUUAAAAUACAAUUCAAGUUACACAAACUUACCUCAUUGCUUGUUUGUGUUUAUAAUUUCAUUAAUCCGAUAUCUUUUCUUUUCUACGAUCAAGUCUCAUAUUUGAGUCGUCCGGAUCUUUAUAAAUAAAUUUGAUCAUCAUUUUCAUUCAUUUCAUCUUCUAAUGCAUUUAAUUAAUGCUCUAGGCAAAAUUACCAUUUUGCCCCUAAACUUUUAAUUAAUGACGAUUUCGUCCUUAGGGUCAGGAAAAUAAAAUUCUUGCAAUUUAAUCCUUAUUUCCAGCUAUUAUUCUCAUAUAUAUUGAUAACAGUCCAUGAAUUCUAUAAAAUAUCAGAAUUUUCCAUAAUUUCAACACUUUUCAAUUUAAUCCCUAAAACAUGUUUUCCCCCGAUCUUGAACUAAAUUAAUAAUUUCAUUCAAUUUUGUAAUUUAAAUAAUAAAAUAAUCCAUUUCAUGCAAUUUGGUCAUUUAUGACAUUUUUACAAAAUUUCCCAUAAAGUUUUACUUUUAUUCAAUUUAGUCCCUAAGCCUAAAAUAUGCAAAUUAGCCAUGCUUAAUGAAUAUUCAUAUAUGUUUUCCUCCUCCUCCUCUCCAUUCCACAUCCUUGAUGUAUGUAGCACACUUGUAAGUAACAUUAUCUAUAAUCUUUAUUAUUUACUUUUAUGAAUAUUCAAGCUGUCCAUCUGUGUCAUGGUCACUAAAUUAUUUAUAUCUGGAGCUAUAGGACUCCAAAUUAAUAUCCGUUAAUUUUCCCUGAAACUAGACUCAUAUAUAUUCUUACCAUAAAAUUUUAAGAAUUUUUGGUUUAGUAAAUAAGUACAGUUUAUUCUUUAAAGUUACCCCUAUUCUGCUGUCUGACAGUUGUGACCCUUCUUCACUAAAAAUUAAUUAUCUCCUUGUACAGAAUUCGAAUGAUGUUCAUAUUUGUUUCUAUUGAAAAUAGACUCAUUCAUGAUUCUAAAAAUUUAAAUUUAAGCCUCUAAUUAUUUUAUCCAAUUUUUUUAUGAUUUUACAAAUUCAGAACAGGGGAACCCGAAAUCAUUCUGACCUUGUCUCACAAAAUUCAUAAUAUCUCAUUAUUUAGAAUUCCAUUGCUUACAUAAUUUCUUCUAUAAGAAACUAGACUUAAUAAGAUUUAAUUUCAUAUUUUAUUCAUCCUAUAAUUAGAUUUCUACAUUUUUUUAUGAUUUUUCAAAGUUAGACUACUGCUGCUGUCCAAAACUGUUUUAGUACAAGAUAUUAAUUACCAUGUUAUAACAUCCUUAUUUUCUUUUUCUACACCAUUUCUCAUCACUUUCUCUUAUUUUUUCUUCACUAACAUAUCAAGAACAUAGGACCUUAUGUAAGAAAACUCUACUAUAACAUUAUUUCCAUGCUUUAUCAAUAAUAACAAACUUAGAAACAUAUUGAAAUCUUGAUGUACUUACCUUUUCUUAUCGACUUCAAUCUUUAACUUGAUUUUUCUCUCUCCUCCAGCUUCGAUUUCUUGAAUCCGACUUGAUAUUCUUGCUCCCCAUCAUCUCCUUGCUAUCUUUCUCUCUUGAUGGCUAUGGAAAUUCUUUCAAUUUUUAGGUGAAAAUAAUGAAUUUUUGGUGGAACGACUAAAUUGUAAAGAAAGCAAACUUCUUUUCUUCUUCUUAUCUUACGUUAGUUUGCAUGGGAAAGGAAAUGUGUUGAUAAUUCUUCAUCUUUCCUUCCUUUUAUACUAAAUAAAUAAUAAUAUAAUAAUAAACAUCUCAUAAAAUAUUAAUAAAAUAAUAUUUAUCUAAUUAAUUAAUUUAAAAUAUCAUCAACAUAAUCAUUACAUUCUAGAAUUCUCUCUCUUACUAAUUGACCAUUUUGCCCUUCAUGAUCUUUUAGAAUUCCAUCCUUGAGUCAUCACUUAAUUUGGUAAAAUUGCGAUUUAGUCCCUAAUAAUUUUUUACCUAUUCAAUUUGGUCCUAAUUCAUCAAUUUUUCUUGGUUUCUAGAUCAUUCCACCCUUAAAAUAUUGUCACCAUUAGUCCUUCAACUUUUUUAUAUUUACACUUCAACCCCUUAAUUUUUUAGUAUUUACUCUUGUGCAACAAGACUUUUCUCAUCUUUACAAUUUAGUCCUUUCUUGAAUUAAUAUAUCAUAAUAUACUUUUCAAUAUUGACAUCACUCAAAAAUUCCCUUUUUGUCACUUUAUUUCCUUAUUUUACUAUAUCACGGAUAAUAUAUUACUGUAAAAAUUUUCGGGGUAUUACAAAGAAUGAAUAAACUUUUUAAAUAUGGGACUUUAAGCUCACUUAAAGAGGUACAUCUUCCACAAUGUAAAUCUUGCCUUGAAAGGUAAAAUGACAAAGCAAUCUCCUCAUGCAAAAGGUACAAGGGCUGUUCAAUCAUUAAAACUUGUGAAUACUGGCGUAUGAGAUCCCAUGAACGUUAGUGUGAGAUUUGGUUACAAUUAUUAUGUAAACUUUAUAAACAUUUAUUCCAGAUACUAGUCUGUGUACCUAAUGCACCACAAGAGUGAAACUUUUAAAAAGUUUCAAGAGUUUAGUGUGAAAGUGGAGAAACAAUUAGGUUUACCUAUUAAGAAACUUCAGUUUGACCAACGCGGGGAAUACUUAUGGGACGAGUUUAUAGGAUACCUCAUAGAGAAUGAGAUACAAUUCUAAUAAAUUGUGCGAGGUACUCUACAAUAGAAUGGCGUGGCAGAAAGAUGGAACAAAACCUUACAGAUAGAAUUGUGCAUGUUUGUUGGUUGUCCAAAACGAACUAAGGGUGGAUUAUUUUAUAACCCAAAAGACCAAACAGUUAAGGUUUAGACUUAUGCUACUUUCCUUGGGGAAAUCUAUAUUAAAAAUUUUAAACCUUGAAGUAGAUUGUAACUUCAUAAAAUUUCAGGAAAAUGAGCUUAUUUUUUAGUAACUUGUAAGUCAUUUUACGUGAAACAAACGCAUCUGAAGGAAAAUGAAUAAGAGGAUAAUAAUUUUAUAAACAAUGAUCUAAAAAUUUUACUCAUACCAUGUGUCGAAACUAUUUUUAAAUCGAGUUUUGGAAAAUGGGAAUCGACUUUAAAAAUGAAAACGGGAGUCGCCGCCAAUCUUUUUAGGUGUGAUUGGAUCACCUUUAAAACAUUUGUUUUAAAAUCGUUGGUUUUGGUCUACGAAAUCAAAAGAAUGGGUUCGGGAGUCGGUUACGUACGAGGAAGGGUUGGCACCCUCGUAACGCCCAAAAAUUGGUACCUAAUUGAUUAUCAAAAUGUCUCUAAUGUCGGAAAUUAAAAAUUUUAAGAUGUAAUCCUCUUUAAAGUAUUUGAAAAUUUGGGUUUACUUGUAUCAAAGUAUUGACUAUAAGUUAGCCUUUUAGAAACCUCUAUCUCAAAAUAGCAAAAUGUUACAUUCAGUAAGUUAGGACAUAUCACUUUACAAUUCCAAGACAGUCACUUAUAUUUUGAAAUCCUUUAAGAACUUUAGAAUGGUACUUGACUAUUCGAACUUAACGAGAAAAGUUGCAACCCAAUAAGUUAGGGCACUACUUCUUCGAAAUUUUCAAACACCAAGCAUUGCCUUUAUAUUUUUUGAAAAUUUUGGAGCCUUGUCUUUUUAAAGAUGAUGUGUGGAGAAUUGUAUUAAAUCAUAAUGAUAUAUUAUUGUACUAGGUAGAUAAAAAAUGAAUACUACGAUAUAAAGAAUAAUACAUAUAAAGCAAAAAAAAAUGCAAACAAAGAUAUAUAGCAUGUAUCGAGAACGGAUAAACAAGAUAUAUAAACAUAUGAGAUAAUACUUAAAUGAUGCGUGAUAUAAAAACAAACAUAAUCAAAUAAUGCAUGAUAUACAAAUAGAAUAAAUGUAAUGUCAAUAUGCAUAUAAUUAUAAUAAAAAAUUUAACACAUACAUGAUACAUACAAUACAAAACAUAUAGAAGAACUAAUAAAAAAAAUGAUUGAUUGCUAACAAAAUAUACAUGCAAUUAAAAACAAGACAUUUCAUAUCAAUAGUAUUUAAUAUAUAAUAUAAUAACAUAGUAACAAGAAUAAAAGAAUAAUAAUUAUAUAACAAUAUAUUGGUUUGAAAGCAUGUAAGAGAUUUCAUAAUAUAACAAUAUUAGUUUAAAAUGAAAUAAUAUAUGUAUAGUAAAUAAAUAAAAAAAUGAAAUGUGUAUAUAAUGUGAGUUAAAAAUAUGAUUUAAUAAUAAUAAUUUACAUUUUUAAAAUAAUAUAUAUAAAACAAUCUAAUUUGCGAUACAUAAUAUACAUAACAUAUAUAUAUAAAAUAAUAUAAAAAUGAAAUAUAAUAAAGAUUAUAUAAUAAAAUGUAAUAUGAACAUAUAAGAAAAAAAAUAGAUAUAAUAUGAAGUAACAAUAUAUAUAAGUAAUUAAUAAAUAUAAUAUAUGAAAAUAUAAUAAUAUAUAUAAGAGAUGUAAAAUAAUAAUUUAAGAAAAAUAAUAUAUAAUAAGUAAUAAUAAUAUAUAAUUAAAAAUAAUACUUAUAAUAAAAUAAUUUUAUAAUAUAUAAUAUAAAAGUAAAAUUAGAAAUAAACGAAUAAUAAAAUAUAUAUGGAAUAAUAUAAUAAAUAUAGGACUAAAUUUAAAGUUUAACAAAAUUAUGGGGCGAAUUUUGAAAGGAAUAAAACUGAAUUAAGGACCUAUUUAAAACGCGCGCAAAAUUAAAGGGACUCACUGGGCAAAUUGCCCCUUUUCCCAAAACGUCACCGUUUCCCCUAAUACAAUUGUAAAUCAUUGGGAGGGUCGAAUUGAAAUAGAAUUAAAAUAUUAAUACCAAAUUAAAAAAAUAAAAAAAUGAAAUUAGAAGUAUAAAAAAUUGCGAGAGGACCAAUUGGGUAAUUAACCCAAUUCUCAAAAAUGGGCGGAUCCUCCCCGGGUAAUUGGGUCAACGCGCGGAUCCUAUAGUUGUAAAAUGACACCGUUUUAAAUAGACUAUAUAAAUCAAACUUCGCCCCCAAAAUCAUUUUAACAUCCGUUUUCAAAAAAAAAAAGAAAAAAUCCUCUGGAAGAGGAUUUGGGGGCCGAUCCCGGAGCUGCUGAGCCUCCGUCCAGGGGUCUCCUCACGCGCUCACGCGCCGCCCUGUACGGUGGUCUGAGGGUUAAAAUCCUCGUCCUUCCACAGGUAAUCUCUUCCCCUUUUUAAAAAUUACUAUUUUUUGCUAAAAUGAUGUACAUACAUGCAUAUGCUCUAAAAUGAAAAAAACACACAGUUAAAUCACCUUUUCUUUGAAACUGCUUGUAUUCUCUUUUUUUAUUUCUGUAUGCAUGUGUGUGUAAUCGUUACAAGAGUUACAAAGGCUUUUUAUAGCCUACGGAUUUGUUACAUAAGGAAAGAAAUCUCUGAUUUCUAUUGUAUCUUUGACUGAUGUGCUGCGAUUUCCUUGCCAUUUUCUACUCUGCUUUUUCGCGUAUCUGCUGUUUGUUUCCUUUUCUUGUAGGCAAUUGAGCGAGGGAUCCGGCAAUGACCAUGCUGGUGUAGACGCGUGCACUAAUCACGGUGCUGAUGGAGGGUUACUGAAACAUCGUGGGAGACGAGCAGACGCAUCCGUUGAAAUUGCUUCUGGAAGCUUCUACUUGCGACGCGAGGAGAAAGGCAGAAACCCUAGGGUUUGCUGCCUUGGUGUAACAAGCUGGGCCAAUUGGGCUUUUUGAAUUUGGGCUAGCUAGUUUUAAUUGGGUCACGGGUGUUUGUGGGUCUGCUGGGUAGUUUGGGCCUGAUUAGGUUACAAGUGUAACGGGCUUUGGGCUCACUAGGCUUUGAGGCCUGUUUAUUUGUAAAUAGACUUUAAUGGACAUUUUUUAAAUAAAUAUUUAUUCAUAUUCUGCUUUCAGCCCGGUUAAAUUUGGGCUUUUACACCAUGAUUUUGAUUUAUUUUAUUAGUGAUUUUCAUUUUCUAUUUUCCUUUUUUUAGCGACUCUUUAGAUAAUUGAGACCAUUAAAAAUAAAUCAUAAUAACUAAAAUUAAAAAUUUAAUAUUAUAAAAAAAACCCAUAUAUUUUAGUUUAAAUUUUAAAAUUAAAUUGUUCACAGAUUAAGCUAUUUCUCCGCUUAGUAGGCACGUUUUAAAUUUUUUUACCACAAAUUAUCUCUCUCAAAAAUAGUAAACCUAACAACAUCCUUUUACCAAAUUUACACAUUUACACGUUUUGUUCAACACUCUCGGCAAUUACCAAUCCAACUGUUAUAAAUUAGGCCAAAGUUCAUUGGAAAAAACACACCAUCACAAAUUAACAGUAUUAGCCGCCUAGCUAGCUAACUUUUAUUUUAAAAAAAACAUGAAGAGGUUUUCCCUUAUUGUUUUGUGCGUGGUGACUCUAGUGAUGGUGUUGUUUUCAGGUGCAGAGGCAGCGCCAGUGCCGAAAUGUGAUAACCCCUUAGAGUAUAGCUCAUGCUUGAAUGCGUACAAGAAGCCACCUCCAUCAGCCGGUUGUUGCCAGAAGAUGAAGGAACAAGCACCAUGCUAUUGCAAGUACAUGAAGAUAGAAGAUGUCAAACGUGUUUUUGACAGAGUUGAGAUUGCGAAAAUGGCUAAAUUGUGUGGAGUUUCAUAUUCUUCCACCUGCUAGAAUCCCGUUUGGUUUCAUUUGACUAUCUCUGGAUGAGAUAACCUGACAUCUCAAUAAAUGAAAAUUUUAUUUGAAAACUAUUUUUUUACCCAUAAUUUCGACUAUAAUGUACUUGUGUUCUUUUUUUUUUUUGGAAUAAUACUGGUGGUUUGCUAUUAUUUACCUUUAUUGUCUUGAUUCAUGUUAUAUAUAUGCAAAAAGAACUACACAAUGAUCUAGAUUUUGUUUGAACUAUACUGGAUUGGUUAGAUUAGAAACUGAUCUGGAUAGUAGUAUAAUUAGAGGGGUUAGAUUGGUUGACCCACGAACCGAUAGGCAGUAGUUGAAUCGGUUUUCUCUAAUAAAGUAUUUUUAUAUUUAUUUUAAUCUUUAAGUAAUUUAUUUAAUCAAACUAGAUGAAUAGUUCGAAAUAAAAAAAUAGUUAUUUAACUGAUUUAAUCGUCGUCCAGUUCUGAAAACAUUGUUAUAGUUAAAAAAAAAACAAGAGAAAUGAGUUGUGUAGAUCAAAUUAUUAUAUUAUAAAAAUAUAUGUUAUUUGAAUAUUUAUUUAGGUAAAAUACACUAGUAGUCACUCAACUUUUAGUAAAUUUCUUUAUUUCUUAUCGAAUUAUGAAAAAUUACAAAAUGAUCACCUAACUAUUCAAUUUUUUCUUUUUUGAGCUUCGGUCAGCUAAUGGUGACAACCAGACUUGUUAAUUGGUCGAGUUACCUGCCCAAGCCCGAUGGUCUGCUUGAAAAAUGGAAGGGUUUGGACAAAUAUAUGGUGCCGAAAAAUGGGUUAGGGUAAAAUUUAAGGCCUAUUUUCUAUAUGAUUGGGAUCUGUGCAAAUUUUUUUUUAGCCGAGCACAAUUUGAUUAUAUUAAUUAUAUAUGUUAAAUAAUAAUUCUAUAUUUAUAUAUAUUGAAUUACUAACCCAAUAACAACUAAACCCAUUUUUCAAAACCUAAAAAAAAAACUUAGCCAACUUAAUAAUUGGCUUCAGCUUUUCCUCAAGCCCGUCAAUUAGUUAACCAUAGACAUAUUUUAGUUAAUGGCUUACAGUAGAUAUACCAAGUUAUCGUUGUAAGCCCCGAGAUAUUAUUUCAAUGAGGGAUGAACAAAAUUCUAGAACUCUUAUUCAAAAUCAUCUUGAUUCAUCCACCAAUGAGGAAUUACCAAAACAUUUAGCCAUUCACACAUUACAAUAUAAAGGAUUAGUCAAUCAAAUAAUAUAUGAGAAAUAGGUUGGUUUGAAAUAAAUGGAUUGCUUGUAGUAGAAUAUUAUUCUCGUCAGAACUAAAAAUAUAAAAUAUAAAAUUUUUUAUUUAAUACAAUAAAACAUUUAUUAUAUUUAUGGUAGUGUUUUUUAAUGAAUCUUUAAUGUGGUAUGAAACUCUCAGUUGAUGAAACUUAUUUAGUGGUAGAUUCAAUAAACUAUUGGGUCAUUAAUUCUGAAGUCAUUAAUAAUAUUUGUGUUUAUUGUUGGGGUUUAAGUAAACGAGAAGCCUCCGUGAUAAGGAUCUCUCGUUGCUUGCUAGAGAUGGGAGAAAUGUAGCAGCAAAAGAAGUGGGAGAAGUACAUUUGUAUUUUGAUAAUUUUAGGAAAUUUAUUUUAAAUGAUAUUUUUUAUGUACCUAGUUUUAGGAGAAAUUUAAUUUCUAUUGCAUGUUUAUUUAAAGCAAGUUUUUUUGUGACUUUUAAUAAAGGGAUUGCAAUUCAUAAAAAUCAUGUUCUUAUCCGUAAUGGAUGGGUGCAAAAUAAUAUUUAUUUUCUUACACAAAAGAGCUAUUCACUGCUUGAAACCAAACUUGUGAAUGAGAAACUUAAAACUUCUCACUCUGAUUCUUAUGAUAUUUAAUACUUAAUCGCGUUAAACAAGAAAGAAUGAAUAAACUUUUUAAAGAUGAGACUUUAAGUUUACUUAAAGUGAUACAUCUUUCACAAUGUAAAUCUUGCUUGAAACGUAAAAUAACCAAGCAAUCUUCUAAUGCAAAAGGUACAAGGGUUGUUCAAUCAUUCAAACUUGUGCAUACCGACAUAUGUGGUCCCAUGAACGUUAGUGUAAGAUUUGGUUACAAUUAUUUUGUAAACUUUUUAGAUAUCUAGAUACUAGCUAGUAUGUGUACGUAAUGCAUCACAAAAGUGAAACUUUAAAAAAAAUUCAAGAUUUUAGUGUGAAAGUGCAGAAACAAUUAGGUUACCUAUUAAGGCACUUCAGUUUGACCGACGUGGGGAAUACAUAUCAGACGAGUUCAUAAGAUACCUCAUAGAGAAUGAGAUACUAUCCCAAUUAACUGUGCAGGGUACUCCACAACAGAAUGGCAUAGCAAUGAGAUGGAACAAAACCUAGCUUGAUAUGAUUUAUUCAAUGCUAAGUUAUUCAAAACUUCCAAUAUCAUUCUUGGGGUAAGCAUAUCGACUUGCGAUAUUUUAAAUUACAUAAAAACUAAGGAAGCACUUCAGGAUCCAUAUGAAAUGUGGCAUGACAUGAAGCCAAGCCUAAAUCAUUUUAGGAAUUGGGGAUGCCCAACUUACGUGUUGGCUAAAGAUACAAAAAAUUUGGAAGCACGGAUAGAAUUUUGCAUGCUUGUUGGUUGUCCAAAACGGAGUAAGGGUGGAUAAAUUUAUAAUCCAAAAGACCAAACAGUUAAUGUUUCGACUUUUGCUACUUUCCUUGAGGAUAUCUAAAUUAAAGAUUUUAAACCUCAAAGUAGAUUGUUACUUCAAAAAAUUUUAGGAAAAUGAGCUUCUUUUUCUAUGACUUGUAAGUCAUUUUCCGUGAAAUAAACCCAGUUGAAGGAAAAUGAAUUCACGGAAAAUGAAUAAGAGGAUAAUAAUUUUAUAAACAGCGAUAUAAAAUAUUUUACUCAUACCAUCAUUUUGAUUGAUUUUAUUAGUGAUUUUAAUUUUCUAUUUUACUUUUUUUAGUGACUCUUUAAAUAAUUGAGACCAAUAAAAAAACCAUAACAACUAAAAUUAAAAAUUUAAUAUUCUAAAAAAAUAUUUUAAUUUUAAUUUUAAUUUUAAAUUGUUCAAAGAUUAAGCUAUUUUCUCGGCUUUGUAAGCACGUUUCAAUUUUUUUUUACCACAAAUUAUCUCCCUUACAAAAAUAGUAAACCUAACAGUAUCCUUUUACAACAUUUACACAUUUACACGUAUUGCCCAAAACUCUCGGCAACUAAUAAUCCAACUACUAUAAACUGUGUAAAAGUUCAUUGGAAAAAACACACCAACACAAAUUACCAUUAUUAGUCACCCAACAAGCUAACUUUUUAUUUAAAAAAACAUGAAGAGGUUUUCCCUUAUUGUUUUGUGUGUAGUGACUUUAGUGGUGGUGUUGUUUUCGGGUGCAGAGGCAGCGCCAGUGCCGAAAUGUGAUAACCCUUUGGAGUAUAGCUCAUGCUUGAAUGCGUAUAAGAAGCCACCUCCAUCAGCCGGUUGUUGCCAGAAGAUGAAGGAACAAGCACCAUGCUAUUGCGAGUACAUGAAGAUAGAAGAUGUCAAACGUGUUUUUGACAGAGUUGAGAUUGCGAAAAUGGCUAAAUUGUGUGGAGUUUCAUAUUCUUUCACCUGCUAGAAUCCCGUUUGGUUUCAUUUGACUCUCUCUGGCUAGGAUAACUUGGCAUCUCAAUAAAUGACAAUUUUAUUUGAAAACUAUUUUUUUACUCAUAAUUUCGACUAUAAUGUACUUGUGUUCCGUUUUUUUUGGAAUGAUACUAGUGGUUUGCUAUCAUUUACCUUUAUUGUCUUGAUUCAUAUUACAUAUGUGCUAAAAGAACUACACAAUGAUCUAGAUCUUGUUUGAAUCAUAUUGGAUUGGUUAGAUUGGAAAUUGAUCUAGAUACCAAUAUAAUUAGAUGGGUUAGAUUGAUUGACCCACGAACCAAUGGAGACUGGUUGAAACGGUUUUCACUAUUUCUUUAAAAAUAUUUUUAUAUUUAUAUAAAUUAUUAAAUAAUUUAUUUAAUCAAACUAGACGAACAAGUUGAAAUGAAAAAUAGUUAUUUGACUGAUUUGACCAUCGGUCCAGUUCUAAAAACAUUGUUAUAGUUUAAAAAAAAAAGAGAAAUGGGUAGGGUAAAUAAAAUUAUUAUAUUAUAAAAAAAAUGUUAUUCGAAUAUUUAUUUGGGUAAAGUAUACUUGGAGUCACUCAACUUUUAGUAAAUUUCUUUAUUUCUCAUCGAAUUAUGAUCUCCAAUUAGCUAAUGGUGGUAGCUAGACUUGUUAAUUGGCUGGGUUACCUGCCCAAGUCCAACGGCCCGCUUGAAAAAUGGAAGGGUUUGGACAAAUACACGAUGCUGAAAAAUGGGUUUGGGUAAAAUUUAAGGCCUAUUUUAGUUAAACAAAAUUCUAGAACUCUUAUUCAAAAUCAUCUUGAUUCAUCCAGCAAUGAGGAAUUACCAAAACAUUUGACCCUUCACACAUUACUAUAUAAAGGAUUAGUUAAUCAAAUAAUAUAUGAGAAAUGGGUUGGCUUGAAAAUAAAUGGAUUGCUUGUCGUAGAAUAUUAUUCUCGUCAGAACUAAAAAUAUAAAAUAUAAAAAUUUUAUUUAAUACAAUAAAACAUUUAUUAUAUUUAUGGUAGUGUUUUUUAAUGAAUUUUUAAUGUGGUAUGAAACUCUUAGUUGAUGAAACUUAUUUAGUGGUAGAUUUAAUAGACUAUUGGGUCAUUAAUUUUGAAGUCACUAAUAAUAUUUAUGUUUAUUGCUGGGGUUCAAAUAAACGAGAAGCAUUCGUGAUAAGGAUCUCUCGUUGCGAGCUGGAGAUGGGAGAAAUGUAGCGGCAAAAUAAGUGGGAGAAGUACAUUUGUAUUUUGAUAAUUUUAGGAAAUUUAUUUUAAAUGAUAUUUUUCAUGUACCUAGUUUUAAGAGAAAUUUAAUUUCUAUUGCAUGUUUAUUAAAAAAGUUUUUCUAUGACUUCUAAUAAAAGGAUUGCAAUUCAUAAAAAUCAUGUUCUUAUCCGUAAUGGAUGAGUGCAAAAUAAUAUUUAUUUUAUUACACAAAAGUGCAACUCACUGCUUGAAACCAAACUCGUGAAUAAGAAACUUAAAACAUCUCACGCUAAUACUUAUGAUAUUUAAGACUUAGUCGCGUUAAACAAUAAAGAAUGAAUAAACUUUUUAAAGAUGGGACUUUAAGCGCACUUAAAGAGAUACAUUUUCCACAAUGUGAAUCUUGCUGCAAAGGUAAAAUGACCAAGCAAUCUUCUAAUGUAAAAGGUACAAUGGUUGUUCAAUCAUUAAAACUUGUGUAUACUAACAUAUGUGGUCCCAUGAUCAUUAGUGUGAGAUUUGGUUACAAUUAUUAUUUAAACUUUUUAGAUAUUUAUUCCAAAUAUUGGUAUAUGUACCUAAUGCACCACAAGAGUGAAACUUUUAAAAAAAUUCAAGAGUUUAGCGUGAAAGUUGUAACACCCCUUACCCGUGUCUGACACCGAGACAGGGUAAGAGGCGUUAUUGGACUUAAACAUAACAAAUCAUACAAAACUGGGCCAUAAAAUUUUGCUCAAAUUAAAACCAUCCAUUAACAUAUAUAUAUCGUCCCUUAUAUGGGCCCAAAAGGCCCAAAACAUACAUUGGGUGUGGUUCGGGACUAAACCGAGAACUUUCGAAACUUUUAGAACACUUAGAAAAAUUUUCUUAUUUUGGAGAGCCACACGCCCGUGUGGUCACACACGCCUGUGUCCUCAGCCCGUGUAACUCUUUAUUUAUGAUGUCAUCAACACAAUUAGGGUCACUCAGCCAAGUCAAACGUCAUUGUGCUUAGAUCGUGUGGUGAAUUAAAUUCUAAAUUCAGGUGCAGGCUUCACACGGCCUGGGCACACACCCAUGUCCUAAGGCCGUGUCCUUCACACGGCAGGGACACAUGCCCGCGUCUCUGCCCUUGUGUUUACUACUGGGCAUUUUGAUUUGCAUUUAUUAGGGUGCAGGGGACACACGGUCUAGACACAUGCCUAUGUGUCUACUCGUGUAGACAACUUUGAGGCUAUCUUCCAAGCCUUUUAUCACCCGUAAUAACACAUACACACUUAUACAUCUCAAUCACAACUUACAUAGCAUAAAUGAGAACUUACGCAUUCACAACCAUGGCCCAUGCACAUCAACUUCUUAUCAAUUAGUACUUGUUAAGACUCCAUAUUUUAUUUAAGCUAAGCUUACCAAAUCACAUGCAAUAUACAACAUCAUAUUUACUUCCAUUUUACACAUUUAUGCCUUAGUUGUUAUUAUGCCAUUUACUCACAAUUCCAUCAUCAAACAUCCAUGAUCAUAUCCAUAAUUCAUCUAUGCCAAAAUGAAUUAAACACAUCAUGAAUGACCUCAGCACAAGCAUGCAUAUAUGAAUAGGAUUAUAUCCCCAUAAUUAAAAUGAGCCAUAUCUCAUGGCCAUAUACUAAAUGAAUCAUCAAAUCAUUAUAAGCCAACACAUUUGGCUAACCCAAUAUGACAUAUAACAAAAAGACCAAGUCCCUAUACAUGCCAUACUCAAAAUACUUAAAUUCAUUAUACCUAAAAGAUUAGUUUGAUAGUGUGAAUCGAGCUCCGAUGUCCUUUGAUCCUCGAGCUAGCUUGGCGAUACUAUAAAAGAUGGAAAGGAAGGGGGUAAGCAUUAAGGCUUAGUAAGUUCACAUGCAAAUAAAUAGCAACAUCAUCAUGAAUAUAUAUAAAUACCAUUGACAUAACCUAGUUUAAAUAUAUGUCAUCAUAGAUUCAUAAGCAUAACUUACACAUCUUCAAUCUUACCAACAGGUCAUCAUAUACGGAGUUCAUUCAUAAGAGUUUUUCAUACAUACCUGUACCAACUCGUAAUACAUUCUCGUAUUUCCUCCUCAAUGACUUACUUGUUGAAUAACUCACUGAUUUACCUGUUGAACACUUGAAAUACUAUCGAUACACGGAAAACUUGCACGUGGUGCUUCAAACGUAGCCACAUGCUACCUCAUAUUACAAUUACACAUUACUCGCUCUCGAGCUAAUCACGGGUCUGUUCACACAAGCUGACAGUCAGGACAUAACUACUCGGGCUGCUCAUACAAGCUGACAAGUACCCGCAACACUUGCCGGGCUACCCAGCCACUGGUAAAACAUACAAGACUAGCACCCGGAUUCACAUAAACACAUAUCGCAUAUCUUAUGAGCUCAACACAUAUAGUUCCUAUUUACAUGUCACGUUAUAUCCUAAAUUAUUCCUAUGGUUCAAACGGGAUUUUCUCGAUAUCACAUAUUCGUCGAACUCAUUCACAAUGUCGUACUCAUAGACAAUAGCGUCAUUCAUACACUCGUCAUAAUAAUUAAACAUGGAGACUCAUUCAUAAAUAAAAUAUUAAAACAUGAUAUGUCAUUGCAUUAUUUACACAUGAACUUACCUUGGUACAAAAUAUGGACAAUUAAUUUGAUUUAGUCUAAAAUCUUGUUCUUUCCCCGGUCUAGGUCCGGACUCCGUUUUUCUUGAUCUAUAAUAGCAAAUUCAGCCCAUUAAUUCAUUACAUUAUUCAAAUCAGUCCAAAAAACUAUAUUUUGGAAAAAUUAUGAUUUUUCCCCUAAACUUUCACAUAUUUGCAAAUUAGUCUCUAGGCUCGUAAAAUGAAAUGUGUUCAUUUUCUUUGUUACCCAAGCCUAGCCGAACUUAUAACAUGCUCAUAGAAGCCCACAUUUCUCAUUAAAUCAUACAUCUUACUACCCAUUUUACAAACUUUACAAAUAAGUCCUUUUUAACCAUUUUCAAUAGAAAUCACUUGGUAAAAGAUGUUUAUCACACAUCAAAUAUUCAUAUUCAUCCAUUAAACAUCAAAACACAUGCGAUUCAUACAUGGGUCAAAUUUCAAAUAUGAAUCCUACUUAAAAAUAUGGCUAGAAAUAGGUAAAUCGGGUUACGAGGGUUUCAAAAAUGUAAAGAGCAUUAAAAACGGGGCUAAGAUGUUCUUACUAUUGAGCUUGAAAGUAGAAGAAACCCUAGCUAUGGAACCCUUGAGAUUUUCGGCCAAGGUGGGAGAAGAUGGACACAAUUUUUGACUUAUUUUCCUUUUUUAUUCUUUUAUUAACCAAAUGACAAAAACGCCCUUAAGGCUUUUCUUUCAAACUUUUCCUAUUCAUGCCCAUUUUUGUCCAUAGAUAUAGAAAUUGGGAAAUUUUCUAUUUAAGGACAUCUAAUUAACAAUCCAUGGCAAUUUCAUGCUCAAAGCUUCUAGAACUCGCAUUUUGCAAGUUUUGCAAUUUAGUCCUAAAUGUCAAAUUGGACAUUUUAUCAAUAAAAUUUUUUCAUGAAAUUUUCACACAAGCAUGCAAUCAUAUCAGAGGCCUCAUAAUAAUCAUAAAACAAUUAUUUAUAUUUUGGAUUUGUGGUUUCAAAACCACUGUUUCGACUAGACCCUAAUUCAAGAUGUUACAAAAGUGGAAAAACAAUUAGAUUUACCCAUUAAGACACUUCGGUUUGACCGACGUGAGGAAUACUUAUCGGACAAGUUCAUAGGAUACCUCAUAGAGAAUGAGAUAUUAUCCCAAUUAACUGUAUAGGGUACUCCACAACAGAAUAGCGUGGCACAGAGAUGGAAUAAAACCUUGCUUGAUAUGAUUUAUUCAACGUUAAGUUAUUCAAAACUGUCGAUAUCAUUCUGGGGGUAAGCAUUACUAAUGACUUCCUAUAUUCUAAGUUACAUACAAACUAAGGUAGCACCUUAGGAUCCAUAUGAAAUGUGGCACAACAUGAAGCCAGACUUAAAUCAUUUUAGGAAUUGGGGAUGUCCAACCUAUGUGUUGGCUAAAGAUGCAAAAAAGUUGGAAGCACGAAUAGAAUUGUGCAUGUUUGUUGGCUGUCCAAAACGGAGUAAGGGUGGAUAAUUUUAUAACCUAAAAUACCUAAUAGUUAAGGUUUCAACUUAUGCUAAUUUUUUUGAGAAAAUCUACAUUAACAAUUUUAAACUUCAAAGUAGAUUGUUACUUCAGAAAAUUUCAGGAAAAUGAGCUUAUUUUUCGAUGACUAGUAAGUCAUUUUUUGUGAGACAAAUGCACCCGAAAGAAAAUGAAUAAGAGGAUAAUAAUUUAUAAACAGUGAUCUAAAACAUUUUACUCAUACCAUCAUUUUAAUUGAUUUUAUUAGUGGAUUUAAUUUUCUAUUUUACUUUUUUUAGUGACUCUUUAAAUAAUUGAGACCAUUAAAAAUAAACCAUAACAACUAAAAUUUAAAUUUUAAUAUUCUAGAAAAACCAUAUAUUUUAAUUUCAAUUUUAAAUUUAAAUUGUUCAAAGAUUAAGCUAUUUUCUUGGCUUUGUAAUCCCAUUUCAGUUUUUUUUACCACAAAUUAUCUUUAUCUCAAAAAUGGUAAACCUAACAACAUCCUUUUACCAAAUUUACACAUGUACGCGUAUUGUCCAAAACUCUUGGCAACUAAUAAUCCAACUUCUAUAAAUUGUGCCAAAGUUCAUUGGAAAAAACACACCAACACAAAUUACCAUUAUUAGUCGCCCAGCUAGCUAACUUUUUUAUUUAAAAAAACAUGAAGAGAUUUUCUCUUAUUGUUUUGUGCGCGGUGACUCUAGUGGUGGUGUUGUUUUCAGGUGCAGAGGCAGCAGCGCCAGCGCCAAAAUGUGAUAACCCCUUAGAGUAUAGCUCAUGCUUGAACGCGUAUAAGAAGCCACCUCCAUCAGCCGGUUGUUGCCAGAAGAUGAAGGAACAAGCACCAUGCUAUUGCGAGUACAUGAAGAUAGAAGAUAUCAAACGUGUUUUUGACAGAGUUGAGAUUGCGAAAAUGGCUAAAUUGUGUGGAGUUUCAUAUUCUUUCACCUGCUAGAAUCCCGUUUGGUUUCAUUUGACUAUCUCUGGUUGGGAUAACCUGGCAUCUCAAUAAAAGAAAAUUUUAUUAGAAAACUAUUUUUUUUACUCAUAAUUUCGACUAAAAUGUACUUGUGUCCUUUUUUUUUUUGGAAUGAUACUGGUCAUUUGCUAUUAUUUACCUUUAUUGUCUUGAUCAUGUUACAUAUGUGCUAAAAGAGCUACACAAUAAUCUAGAUUUUGUUUGAAUCGUAUUGGGUUGGUUGGAUUUGGAAAUUGAUCUAGAUACCAAUAUAAUUUGAGGGGUUAGAUUGGUUGACCCACGAACCAAUGGAGACUAGUUGAAAUGGUUUUCUCUAUUUCUUAAAAAAUAUUUUAAUAUUUAUUUAAAUUAUUAAAUAAUUUAUUUAAUCAAACUAGACGAACAGGUCAAAAAUAAAAAAUAGUUAUUUGACUGAUUCGACCAUUGGUCCAAUUUUGAAAACAUUGUUAUAGUUAAAAAAACAAGAGAAAUGGGUAGGGUAGAUCAAAUUAUUAUAUUAUAAAAAUAAAUGUUAUUCGAAUAUUUAUUUGGGUAAAGUACACUAGUAGUCACUCAACUUUUAGUAAAUUUCUAUUUUUCUCAUCGAAUUAUGAAAAAUCACAAAAUAAUCACCCAACUAUUCAAUUUUUUUUGAGCUCCAGUUAGCUAAUAGUGGUAGUUAGACUUGUUAAUUGGUCGGGUUACCUACCCAAGUCCAGUGGCCUGCUUGAAAAAUGGAAGGGUUUGGACAAAUACACGAUGCCGAAAAAUAGGCUUGGGUAAAAGUUAAGGCAUAUUUUCUAUAUGGGUCGGGAUUUGUGCAAAUUAUUUUGACCCGUUCCCAGUCCGACCCGAAUAUAUUAUGUUAUAAAAAUAAUUAUAUUAAUUAUAUAUGUUAAAUAAUUAUUAUAUAUUUUUUAUAUUUAUAUUAAAUUACUAAGCCAAUAACAACUAAACCCAUUACCCAAACCUUAAAAAAAUCCUUACCCAACUAAAUAAUUGGCUUCGACUAUUCCUAAAGCCUGUCAAUUAGUUAACCAUAAACAUAUUUUAGUUAAUGGCGUACAAUAGAUAUACCAAGUCAUCAUUGCAAUCUUCGAGAUAUUAUUUUAGCGGCGGAUGAGUAAAAUUCUAGAACUCUGAUUCAAAAUUAUUUUGAUUCAUCCACCAAUGAGGAGUUGCCAAAACAUUUGACCCUUCACACAUUACUAUAUAAAGGAUUAGUCAAUCAGAUAAUAGAUAGGAAAUGGGUUGGUUUGAAAAUAAAUGGAUUGAUUGCCGUAGAAUAUUAUUCUCAUCAAAACUCAACAUAUUUUUAAAAAUUUUAUUUAAUAAUGUGGUAUGAAACUCUUAGUUGAUGUAACUUAUUUAGUGCUAGAUUCAAUGUACUAUUAGGUCAUUAAUUCUAAAGCCAUUAAUCAUAUUUAUUUUUAUUGUAGGGGUUCAAGUAGAACAGAAGCCUUCGUGAUAAGGAUCUCUUGUUGCAAACUAGAGAUGAGAGAAAUGUAGCGGCAAAAGUAGUGGGAGAAAUACAUUUGUAUUUGAUAAUUUUAGAAAAAUUAUUUUCAAUGACAUUUUUAUGUACCUAUUUUUUAUGUGACUUCUAAUAAAGGAACUACAAUUCAUAAAAAUCAUGUUCUUAUCCGUAAUGGAUGGAUGCAAAAUAAUAUUUAUUUUAUUAAACAAAAGAGCUACUCACUACUUGAAAUUGAACUUGUGAAUAAGAAACUUAAAACUUCUCACUCUAAUACUUAUUAUAUUUAAGACUUAGUCGUGUUAAACAAGAAAGAAUGAAUAAACUUUUUAAAGAUGAGACUUUAAGCUCACUUAAAAAGACAUAUCUUCUACAAUGUGAAUCUCGCUUGAAAGGUAAAAUGAUCAAGAAAUCUUCUAAUGCAAAAGGUACAAGGGUUAUUCAAUCAUUAAAAAUUGUGCAUACUGACUUAUGUGAUCCCAUGAACAUUAGUGUGAGAUUGGUUACAAUUAUUAUGUAAACUUUUUAAAUAUUUAUUCUAGAUAUUGUUAUGUGUAUCUAAUGCACCACAAGAGUGAAAUUUUUAAAUAUUUUCAAGAGUUUAAUGUGAAAAUGGAGAAACAAUUAGGUUUAACUAUUAAGACACUUCGAUUUGACUGACGUGGGGAAUCCUUAUGGGACGAGUUAAUAGGAUACCUCAUAGAGAAUGAGAUACUAUCCCAACUAACUAUGCGGGGUAAUCCACAACAGAAUAGCGCGGUAGAGAAAUGGAACAAAACCUUACUUGAUAUGGUUUAUUCAAUGUUAAGUUAUUCACAACUGUCGAUAUCAUUCUGGGGUUAAGCAUUACUAACGACUUGCUACAUUCUAAAUUACAUUCAAACUAAGGCAGUGCCUCAGGAUCCAUACGAAAUGUGGCACGACAUGAAGCCAGGCUUAAAUCAUUUUAGGAAUUGGGAAUGUCAAACCUACGUGUUGGCUAAAGAUGCAAAAAAGUUGGAAGCACGGAUAGAAUUGUGCAUGUUUUUUGGCUGUCCAAAACGGAGUAACGGUGGAUAAUAUUAUAACCCAAAAGACCAAACGGUUAAGGUUUUGACUUAUGCUACUUUCUUUGAGGAAAUAUACAUUAACAAUUUUAAACUUCGAAGUGGAUUGUUACUUCAAAAAAUUUCAGGAAAAUGAACUUAUUUUUUGAUGACUUGUAAGUCAUUUUCUGUGAAACAAAUGCACCUGGAGGAAAAUGAAGAAGAGGAUAAUAAUUUUAUAAAUAGUGAUCUAAAAAAUUUUACUCAUACCAUAAUUUUAAUUUAUUUUAUUAGUGAUUUUCAUUUUCUAUUUUACUUUUUUUAGUGACUCUUUAAAUAAUUGAGACCAUAAAAAAUAAACCAUAACAACUAAAAUUAAAAAUUUAAUAUUCUAAAAAAAACCAUAUAUUUUAAUUUCAAUUUUAAAUUUAAAUUGUUCAAAGAUUAAGCUAUUUUUCUCGGCUUUGUAGGCACAUUUCAAAAUUUUUUUACCACAAUUUAUCUCUCUCAAAAAUAGUAAACCUAACAACAUCCUUUUACCAAAUUUACACAUUUACACGUAUUGUCCAAAACUCUCGGCAACUAAUAAUCCAACUGCUAUAAAUUGUGCCAAUUUUAUUGGAAAAAACAUGCCAACACAAAUUACCAUUAUUAGUCGCCUAGCUAGCAAACUUUUUAUUUAAAGAAACAUGAAGAGGUUUUCCCUUAUUGUUUUGUGCGUGGUGACUCUAGUGGUGGUGUUGUUUUCGGAUGCAGAGGCAGCGCCAGCGCCGAAAUGUGAUAACCCCUUGGAGUAUAGCUCAUGCUUGAACGCGUAUAAGAAGCCACCUCCAUCAGCCGGUUGUUGCCAGAAGAUGAAGGAACAAGCACCAUGCUAUUGCAAGUACAUGAAGAUAGAAGAUGUCAAACGUGUUUUUGACAGAGUUGAGAUUGCGAAAAUGGCUAAAUUGUGUGGAGUUUCAUAUUCUUCCACCUGCUAGAAUCCCGUUUGGUUUCAUUUGACUAUCUCUGGAUGAGAUAACCUGACAUCUCAAUAAAUGAAAAUUUUAUUUGAAAACUAUUUUUUUACCCAUAAUUUCGACUAUAAUGUACUUGUGUUCUUUUUUUUUUGGAAUAAUACUGG